UCAGCCUGUGAUACACAGGAGAACCCCCACCGUACAGAAUGAUGUGACCCCAAAUGUCGACAGUGCCGAGGUGGAGAAACCCUGCCUUAAGGUCACAUGCCUGGAGCCAAGCCAGGAACUGAGAUCUGGACUCCAGACUCCCAGCACAGUGCCCAUCCCAUUACUCCAAGCAAAGAGUCUUCCCCACUGGAUAGUGAACCUUUGAGGGAGAGGCUGGCAUGAUGAUGGCGUUGUUGCCUCUUGACCUCCCAGCAACACUUUGUGGGAAGUGUGAUGAGCCCCAUUUCACAGAUGAUGAAGAUGAGGCCAAGGAAAUUCAGGAGACGUACCCACGAUGGCAUUAUGAGGACAAAGCAGAGCCAGGACCUUAACCACCCCCCUCUGACCUCAAAGCCUUUGCGUUUAUUUAAGUGAAUUAACUGCAAGACACCGGCACCCAGAUGGGCAACAGAUGGAGAUCAGGGCCCUUGGGAUUUCACUGUGUUGCGUGGAAAAUCCAGGAAAAAAAAUCUCCCCAUCUCAAGCUCCUUCACUUGUCACACUUGUGAAGACUCUUUUGCUGUGUAAGGUGACACAUUCACAGGUUCUGGGCAUUAGGACAUGGACAUCUGUGGGGGGGGGGGGCAUUCUUUUCUCUACCACAUCCGUUUUACAGGUGAGGAGACCCAGGCCCAGAGAGGUUAGGUGACUUGCUCUGAGCUGCACAGCUUAUAGGCAGGAUUGCAGGAGGUGAGGAUCAGACCUGGGCAGUCUCAUAACCCCUAAUGGUGUGGUCUCACGACUGCCCCUGGGAACACUGUGUUUGUGGAAUGACACCUCCAGUCACCCUGCCAGUUGGGUGGGUACAAGGUGGACAUUUCUGAAUGGACACUCUCAUAUUUGGAUAUACUGAUGGGACCCCAGGACCAUUAGAAAAUUUUGACGGAGGCUCCUGGUAUGCAUCGCAGAUGGAUAUGCUGGUG